AGAGUUUGAUCCUGGCUCAGGAUGAACGCUGGCGGCGUGCUUAACACAUGCAAGUCGAACGAUGAAGCCCAGCUUGCUGGGUGGAUUAGUGGCGAACGGGUGAGUAACACGUGAGUAACCUGCCCUUAACUCUGGGAUAAGCCUGGGAAACUGGGUAAAAUACCGGAUAGGAGCGUCCACCGCAUGGUGGGUGUUGGAAAGAUUUAUCGGUUUUGGAUGGACUCGCGGCCUAUCAGCUUGUUGGUGAGGUAAUGGCUCACCAAGGCGACGACGGGUAGCCGGCCUGUAAGG
rnacentral:rRNA from 1 species